GGAUCCGAUCAUACCAGCACUAAAGCACCGGAUCCCAUCAGAACUCCGAAGUUAAGCGUGCUUGGGCGAGAGUAGUACUAGGAUGGGUGACCUCUUGGGAAGUCCUCGUGUUGCAUUCC
rnacentral:rRNA from 1 species